GAUGCUGUAGGGAACAGUGGGACAGUUGCCCCAUCCACAGUUGUCUCUGAACAUGCUGAAGGGCCGCCUCAAGAUGCUGUUAAAGAUGGUCAUACAGCUGUAGAUACUACAGAGGUCACAGAAACAUCUGAAGAUGCCCUCAGUGAAUCAGCAGAAGUCUUGGAACAUGCUUAUCAUGAUGCUGUAGAAAUCAGAGGGAUAGUUUACCAUCCACAGUUGUCUCUGAACAUGCUGAAGGGCCGCCUCAAGCAAUGUUCAAGAUUUGACCCAGGAGCAGCUACAGGAUAUGGUUGAUCAGAGUGAGAGGCAUCUGCGGAAAAUAUUUGGAGGAUAUAUUCUCUGCGAGAGACAUAUUGCAUUCAAGCAGGAAGGAAGAAGCAAAAAUGCUGUUAAGACGAUUAUACAGUUGCAGAAACAACAGAGAUCUCGGAACCAUCUCAAGAUGCUCUUGGUGCAUCAACAGAAGAUCAGAAGUGGACCAUGCUUAUCUUGAUGCUACAGGGAACAAUGGUACAGUUGCCCCAUCCACUGUCAUCUCUGAACAUGCUGAAGGGCUGCCUGAAGCCAGGAACUUUCAGCGUUUAACAGAGGAGCAAGGCCAACUCCUAAGAAAAUGUCGAAGUGUUCAACAUUACUAUGAGACGGGAACUGAAGAUAAUAGACUGUAUUAAUUCAAUCAAAAGCCACAAGUGUUUGAAUUCUCUGAAGUGGAAUUAAAUAAAAAGCACAUUACACAGUUGGAUAACGACAGAUUGCACACUGAAACAAUAAUAAGUGUUCAAAGUGCUAGUACAUCUUGUACAUAGUGUCAAGGUGUCCAAGCAUGUCUCUGUAAGCCAAUGGUUCACUGCAUAUGAGGUUAUUUUAUAUCUUACAGUGGAUUGCAGCAAAAGGCCAGAGGAAAAUAUGUUUUGAUACUCAUCCGUAUUUUGAAGAAGAAAAAUGGGGCUGAAUGGCAUGUUUAUUUUUUUUUAUUUGACGGGCGGGCUGGGAUGAGAAUCUAAAAUAUUUUUUCUCUGGCUUAAGGCUUUAUUCUUAGUAUGUAUCUAUUAUGUCAUCAUGAUGAAGUCAUCGUUACUAUUCUACAUUGUUAAAAAUUAGAUUCAAUCAUUUUUAGAUUUCCGGAGGUUUUGAAGAGCAUAUUUUUAACAGCCAAUGGGAUCAUAAGCACAUUUCGAGUGUUACAUGACCCAGCCUUUUUAUCAAAAGUUGCUCAGAGUUCAUUUUUGUGUGUCAGAGUAAUAGGCCUUGGAAACUUCAAAAUGGCUGAAAAGGCUUGUCCAAGCACUUUAUUUUCGCUUGCACUGUUUAUCAUCUAGGUUAAUAAAUAUAAUUUCAGUUGAUUUGCAGAAAGUUUACCAGGAUAAGAAUUUGUCGAUUGUUUCUAUACAAUAAUAAUUUCAAUAAAUUAACUUUAUUUUCAAACAGUUUUGACACAAUGACCACAAUGAAUUUAUAUUUUGUCACAACUAAAACUGGGACCAAGGUCUACUGCAUUGUAAAUGAAAAAUAGAAUUUAACAAAAUGGGUAUGUCAUGUACAACACUGAUACAAUGUUCUCAGUAGUGGUGACAUUAUGUCAUAAUAAUUUUUGUCACAAAUAGAUUUUUAGAGUUGCCGAUUGUUUUAUUCAAACAGUAAUUUCUCAUUUGAAUUUUAUGGAGAAGUGUAUUUAUACACAUUCACAGUUAAUGUGUAAUUUCAUGGUGUCAGUCAUUGGUUUGCAGUUCAUGUUACUUUGUAGUUUCUCACUUGUAUUUUGUGACAUAUUCUUGACAUGUAAAGAUGGCAAAUGUAUGUGAUGAAUGUGAGAGAUUAACAUUGUUCAUUGCACAAUGUAUUCACAUAUGUGCUUGUUAACCUCGUUCACUAUUUUAUUUCCCUCUGCAUGUAACCAAAAAUGACUUGUAUAUAAAAUGUCCAUGAUUUAUUUAAAAUUCCAUAAUCAUGGCAACUCGACUCAGUCUCUGCAAUAUUCAAGUGUAGAUCAAGGGGCAAUCCCCUGGCAUUAUUAAUUAUUAAAAUAUUUAAUUUUACUCGUUUUAAUCUUCGAAAAAAGGUGAGGGCUCGCUCCACGGCGCUUCUUGUUUGUUUGUUUUUAGAUUAUUUUUGCUCUGAAGCAAAAUGAUGACCCCCAAUUCUUUUGCUUAUAUUUUUUAAUGAAAUGUAUAAAAUACAUGUACUUCAACGUGAAAUAAAUUUGCCUUAAAAGGA